UAAUGUGAUGUGUGAGUUAUAAAACACUGAAGUUUUGAAGUAUGACAUGAAUAAGGUAAAUUCAGUUUGCUUUUGUUGUCGGGGUCUUUCAAAUGCAUAUACUGGAAGAUGUGUCCUGAAUCUUUAAAACUGAGUAUAACUUUGUACAGUCUAACCCAUAAUUACUUAUUUGUCAUUUGUCCGUAUGUGCAUCCAUUGUCAACUUUUGAAAUCAUUGAGUUGAAUUUGAUAAAACUUGUUUGUGAUGUUUUCAGCAUAAAGCUUUACAAAAAUUGUUCUGGAUUUUUGAAUAUUUGGAUCUGGUUUUCCUUUGAUAUUAUGUAUGAUAUAUAGUAUAAAUCUUCUUCUCUGAAAUAGCAAAGGCUAGAGCUUAGAUAUUUGGCACAAAUCAUUGUCUAGUGGACCUUUGCCAAGGUUGUUCAAAUUAUAGGCUUUUGAUAGAUAUUCGCUCUACUUAAGGAUGUCAACACUUUUCCUUGUAUGUUUAUUGAACAUAAAGCAAAAACACUUUUGAAAAAAUAUUUUCUGAAAUUACUAGACCUUAAAAUGUGUAACUAUGGUACAAAAUGUAAUAUGCCGUAAUAUGAUUACCAAGAUGUUGCCAGAGCUUAAGUUGAGCUUACUAUUGCCCUGUGUCCAUCGUGCAGUGUGUGUUGAUGGAAUCGGGAGAGGGAUAUUGUUUUGACGUUGUCCGUCUGUCCUUCCGUCCGAAUUUCGUUUCCGUGCUAGUUCUCUUUAAUUACUGAAAACUUUAUGGGAAUCAUUGAAAUCAAGCGGAGAUGCGCAUAUCAUCGGCUUAUUCCAGUCAGACCCUUUAACUCAGAGUUAUGGCCUUUGAUUAGUUAUGCAGUAUGCAUUAUAGAGCAAUAAUUAUUUCCACGCUACUUCUCUGCAACUACUGGCUGGAAUUCAAGGAAACUUUAUUAAUCUUGUCAGACACUUUAACUCAGAGUUAUGGCCCUUGAUUAGUUAUUCAGUAUGCAUAUAGAACAAUAAUCGUUUCCAUGCUACUUCUCUGCAACUUCUGGCUGGAAUUCAACAAAACUUUAUGGGAAUCAUUAAUAUCAAGUGGAGGUGCGCAUAUGAUCGGCUUGUUUCUGUCAGACACUGUUACUCAGAGUUAUGGCCCUUGAUUAGUUAUGCAGUAUGCAAAUAAAGCAAUAAUUGUUUCUGCGCUUCUUCUCUGCAAUUACUGAUUGGAAUUCAACAAAACUUUAUGGGAACCUUCAAUAACAACAGGAGAUGCGCAUAUCUUCGCCUUGUUCCGGUCAGACACUUUAACUCAGAGUUAUGGCCCUUGAUUAGUUAUGCAGUAUGCAUAUAGAGCAAUAAUCGUUUCCACUCUUCUUCUCUGCAACUACUUCCUGGAAUUCAACAAAUUUUUAUGGGAACUGUCAAUACCAAAAGAAGAUGCGCAUAUCGUCCCCUUGUUCUGGUCAGACACUUUAACUCAGAGUUAUGGCCCUUGAUUAGUUAUGCAGUAUGCAUAUAGAGAUAUAUAAUCGUUUCCGUGCUUCUUCUCUGCAACUAAUGGCUGGAAUUCAAUGAAAUUUUAUGGGGACCUUUAAUACCAAGAGGAGAUGCGCAUAUCACUGCCUUCAUCUGGUCAGACUUUUUAACUCAGACUUAUGAUAUUUGAUUAGUUAUGCAGUAUGCAUAUAGAGCAAUAAUCGUUUCCGUGCUUUUUCUCUGCAAGAACUGGCUGGAGUUUAACUAAACUUUAUGGAAACAAUCAAUACUAAGAGGAGAUGGGCAUAUUGUCCCCUUGUUUCGGUCAGACCCUUUAACUUAAUGGCCCUUGAUUUGUUACACAGUAUGCAUAUAGAGCAAUUAUCGUUUCUGUGCCAUUACUUUGAAAGUACUGGCUGGAAUUCAAUGAAAUUUAAUGGUAACAAUCAAUAAUAAGAGGAGAUGCGCAUAUCAUCGCCUUGUUCUGGUCAGACCCAUCAAGACAAAUUAUGCCCCCUGAUUAGUUAAUUAGUAUGCAUAUUGAGCAAUAAUUGUUUCCGCACUUUUUCUCUGCAACUACUGGCUGGAAUUCAACAAAACUUUAUGGGAACCAUCAAUACCAAGAGGGGAUGUGCAUGUUGCCUUGUGCCGCUCAGACUCUUUAACACAGAGUUAUGGCCCUUGAUUAGUUAUGCAGUAUGCAUAUAGAGCAAUGAUAGUUUCCGCGCCACUUCUCUGCAACUACUGGCUGGAUUUCAAUGAAACUUUAUUGGAACAAUUAAUACCAAGGGGAGAUGCACAUAUCAUUGCCUUGUUCCGGUCAGAACUAUGAAAAUCCUCAUUUCUGACUGAAAGGAUAUAGCUUAAAUUUUGGACAUGAAAUAUUUUCUAAUGGAACACUACCGUGUCCGAUCUUUAACUCCUAUACCAAUUGAAGGAUUUUCUUCAAACUUGGCUCAAAUGUUCACCUCAACAAGGGGAUGUGCAGAACCCAUGUUGCCCAUGUGUCAGCUCAAGGUCAAGGUCACAAUUGAAGGUCAAAUAUUAAACACAAUCAAAUAUUAGACAGCAUGUCGUGUCCGCUCUGUAAGUCCUACACUAAUUGAAAGAUUUUCUUCAAACUUGGCUCAAAUGUUCACAUCAACAAGGGGAUGUGCAGAACCCAUGUUGCCCAUGUGUCAGCUUAAGAUCAAGGUCACAAUUGAAGGUCGAAUAUCAAACAAUCAAAUAUUAGACAGUAUGUUGUGUCCGCUCUGUAAGUUUUACACUGAUUGAAAGAUUUUCUUCAAACUUGGCUCAAAUGUUCACCUCAACAAGGGGAUGUGCAGAACCCAUGUUGCCCAUGUGUCAGCUCAAGGUCACAAUUGAAGGUCAAAUAUCAAACAAUCAAAUAUUACACAGUAUGUCGUGUCUGCUCUGUAAGUCCUACACUAAUUGAAAGAUUUUCUUCAAUCUUGGCUCAAAUGUUCACUUCAACAAGGUAAUGUGCAGAACCCAUGUCACUCUUUUGCCGGCUUAAGGUCAAGGUCACACUUGAAGGUAAAAAAAUUGACUUAGAAAAUAUUCUUAAAUUUUAACAUCUAUUUGAAUAUUUCUGAAUCUAGAAAAGGUACUUACUUGAAACUUAAAAUAUAUAUGAAGUGUCACAAUUAAGUAUGAUGGUCAAGUUUCAUAACUCUGUAUUGCAUUUUAACAAAGUUAUGCCCCUUUUUAAGUCUUCAAAUUUAAUACAAUCAAAUAUAAGACAAUAUGUCGUGUCCGCUCUAUAAAUCCUAUACUAAUGGAAGAAUUUUCUUCAAACUUUAAUCAAAUGUUCACCUCAACAAGGUUAUGUGCAGAAUCCAUGUCACCUUUGUGCCGGCUAAAGGUCAAGGUCACACUUGAAGGUCAAAAAUUGACUUAGAAAAUAUUCUUAAAUUUUAACAUGUACUUGAUUAUUUCUGAAACUAGCACAGGUAUUUGCUUGAAACUUAAAAGAUAAAUGAGGUGUCACAAAUAAGAUUAAAGGUAAGUUUCAUAACUCUGUAUUGCAUUUUGACAAAGUUAUGCCCCUUUUUAAGUCUUUAAAUUUACAUACAAUCAAUACUAGACAAUAUGUUGUGUCCGCUUUAUAAAUUCUAUACUAAUGGAAGGAUUUUCUUCAAACUUUACUCAAAUGUUCACCCCAUCUGGGCAAUGUGCAGAACCCAUUUUACCCUUGUGCCAGCUUAAGGUCAAGGCCACACUUGAAGGUCAAAAAUUGACUUAUAAAAUGUUAAGUACAUUGGGAAAAUAAAAGGUUAUUUGUAGCUGUUUCGAACAUGAUUUGAUAAUAUAUAUUUAUACUAUUACCUGUACAAUUAGUCUUUUUUUCACCAGAGAUAAUUUCUUUUUAUGUAUUUGUGCAACUUAAGUUAUUCCCUUAACCACCUUUCCAAGACGUCUUCUGUCAAGGACAUUGGUGGGGGUAUGAAUCGCAUUCAGCGAUAGUUCUAGUUAUGUUUGAUAUUAAACAUUUUCUUGUUGACCUCUAUCAAAAUUUUUAUUAAAGUCUGCCUCAUCGAAAUAUAUGUACCUUUAUAUGUCCCUGAAUGAAAAAUGCAACAUUGACUUCACCAUUAUUUGACACGGGAUUAGAAUUUUAUUAUUGCCGCUGUUCAAAUCUGGAGGGGUAUAUUGUUUUGAGUUGUCCGUCCGGACAAACUUACAAAAUGGUACUUAUGUGACUUUUCCUAUGAUCUUUUUAGCCAUUUAAGUCACACAAGCCUAGAAAAGACACACAAGUUAUAACGGAAUUAAUUGGACCAAAGAGAAUGUACCAUUACCCAUUGUUCACAAAGACACAAGUACCUCUGGGUUUGUACGGAAGUACGUAUAUUAUGUCUGUCUGUCCAUCCACAUUUCUUUCCCGCACUAUCUCUCUGCAACUACUGGCUGGAAUUCAAGGAAAUUUUAUGGGAACCAUCAAUACCAAGAGGAGAUGUGCAUAUCAUUGCCUUGUUUAGGUCAGACCCUUUAACACAGAGUUAUGGCCCAUGAUUAGUAGUUAUGCAGUAUGCAUAUAGUCCGAAUUUCGUUUCUUCGUUUUUUCUCUGCAACAACUGGCUGGAAUUCAAUGAAACUUUCUGGGAACCAUCAGUAUGGUGAGAUGUGUUUAUCAUAGCCUUGUUCCAGUCAGAACCUUGAACACAAAGUUAUGGCCCUUGAUUAUUAAUGCUGCAUGCAUAUAGUCUGAAUUUCGUUUCUGCGCUAUUUCUCUACUACAACUGGCUGGUAUGCAACAAAACUUUCUGGGAACCAUCAGUACCAAGAGAAGAUGCACAUAUCAUCGCCUUGUCCCGGUCAGACCUUUCGUCAAAGAGUUAUGGCCCUUUUUAUGCAUUAUGUAUAUAGAACCUCUGCAAAUACUGUCUGGAUUUCCAUGAAACUUUAUGGGAACCAUCAAUAUUAACCAAGAGGAGAUGUGCAUAUCUUCGCGUUCUUUGGGUCAAACCUUUCAGCACUACUUAUGUACCUUGAUUAGUUAUGAUGCAGUUUGUAUUAUAGACAGUUAUCAUUUCCUCUCUACUUCUUUGCAACUAUUAGCUGGAUUUCCAUGAGGCUUUAUGAGAACCAUCAAUACCAAGAGGAGAUGGGCAUAAGGUUGGCUUAUUCCUUUCAGACUCUUUAACACAGUUUAUGGCCCUUGAUUAGUAAUGCAGUUUGCAUACAGAGCAAUAAUUGUUUCCGUUCUAUUUCUCUGCAGCUGCUGAAUGGAUUAUAAAUAAGAAAACUUUGUGGAAACAAUAAAUACUAAUAGGACAUGCGCAUAUCAUCACCUUAAACUUUGUGGAAACAAUUAAUACCAAAAGGAGAUGCACAUAUCAUCACCUUGUUCCGGUCAUACCCUUCAAGGCAGAGUUAUGGCUCAUAGUUAUGCAUUAUGCAUAUAGAGUAAUACAUGUUAUUGUUUCCGCGCUAUUUCUCUACAACUACUGGCUGGAAUUCAACGAAAUUUAAUGGGACCCAUCAAUACUGUAACAUACUUUUGCCGCAGUGUCAGGAUAUCUGUUUCAAAAAUACGCCACAAGUUAUACUGUAUAAACAUAUAUGCUAACUUAGCAUCAGUAAUAAACAGCACCUGGUUUCAAUAUUAUUUUAGUAGACUCUAUUCUUUAGGAUUUCCGAAAAAUAAUGCAACGCUUUCAUCAAGUUGGUCACAAUUACUGUUUGGAUUUGCGCCUCUCACGGAAGUCACGGAUUAUAGUGUCAAUGUUAUCGUAAAUGUCAAACCUGAUUCUUUCUUCUUGAUGAGUGAGUCCGUAAAUGUAACCUUUAAAAUAUUGUAAGUCCUUGAUUCAAAAUUGUCACAUCAUCAACAAGUUUAUGGCCUGCAUUUCUCAUCUCCUAGCGUUUUCUCAUUAAUGUUGCUUUAAUGUUAUUUUUGAGUUUAAGGAUAACUGGCCUGAUUGAAUUUUUUUUGGAGGGCAGUCUGUGAAUGGCAAUAAUGUCCUUUUCCUCAAGUGAGACUCCCUGCAUUUUGAAUGUAUCUCUCAUUGAAUUGGUUAGUUGUUGCUCAGUUUCUCCUCUGAUCUCAGGGAUCUCCAUGACCUUGACAUUAUUCUUUCUAGAGUAUUGUUUAUUGAAGUUUGCUCUCUUGUUGGCAUCUCUACUGAUAUCAUGAAUUUUCAUUACAGUCUCUUCCAGGCUCUUGAUUUUCAGAAGGGUAUUAUUGUCUCAACACUCACCAGCUUUUCCUUAAGUUCCUUCUUUUCAAAUUCAAGGCUAUCAAUUUUGUCAUUAAGAUGUUUCGUUUUAAGAGUCAAUUCAUUUUGUAUGUAGACCUUGAGUUUUUCUUCCAAAGUUGACAUAAUAUCAGUUAAGGUACUUUUGAUUAAAACUUCAAUUUCUUCUUUUUUUAACAUAGCUUUGAAAUCUCUCCUGAGAUUGUUCAUAUUUACAUUCAACCCCUCAAGCUGUGUCUGAAUGUGACUAAGUCCUGGAUCAUCCACACUUGCCAUACUAGUGUUACUGUAAUUACUUGUGUCCAAUUGUAUAGGCUGAGAAGAAGUCAUCUUUUGUUCUUUCUGUCCACCACUGAAUGAAAGUUUUGGCUGGUCCUUUUUACUUACUGUUAGAUCUACUCCUAACCAUUGUCCUUUUUAUGCCCCCGGGCAUAUAGUAAUUGAACCGUCCGUCCGUCUGUCCUUCCGCACUCACAGGAGUGUAAUUAUGUGGCUAGAGGGACAAUAGGUAACUGUUCUUUCUCUUUGAUGUCAUUCAUUCUGUAAUGCUUUUAUGUGGCUAUUUUCUUUUGUGUGGCUAAAAAGAACAAUAGAGAGAACAAUAGAGUAGCCACAUAAUUACUGUCCUGUGAGAACGUCUGUCCGUCUGUCCGUACGAGGUUAACCUAGAACGGCAAGUUGGAUUUUUCUUAAGUUCUACCUGUACCAAUGGCUUCAUAAUUUACACACUUACUAAUCCAUACAAAGUAUAUGAUCUGGGCAAGUUACAUAACUAUGGCUUCCAUUUGCACCAAGUUACGGCCCUUUUCAGCACUUAGAAAAUGAAUAAUGGUUAACCUGAACCGGCAAGUUGGAAAUAUCUUAUGUUCUAUCUGAACUAAUAAUUAAUAAUUUUCACACUUACUUAUCAAUACAAUGUACAUGAUAUUGCCAAGUUAUAUAAAUGUGCAAUCCAUUUUCCCAGUAAUUUCCCUUAAAUAGGGCCUAGUAUGGUUAACCUAUUCGCCAAGUUGGAUUUAUCAAAAAAUUUCACCUAAUUACUUAAUUUAUUUAAUGAUAUCUUUCAUAUGUGGUAGGUGGAUACCUUUAACGAUCCUCUAAUUUUUUGUGGCGUUAGGCGUCUCUAGGUCAAGGUCACUUGUGUAAAAAAAUAAAUUUAAACAUUUCUGCUCAUACAGCCUUUAUUUUUAAGUUAAUGUCUUUCAUGUUUAUAAUAGUCAUACCAAGGGAGGUCCUCUUCCUUUUCCUUUAGUAAGGGUUCAUUUGGGUCAAGGUGACCAAUGUCAAAAAUAGAUUUUUUACACUUACAGGUGUAUUAACCUUAUUCUAUCGACAGAUGUCUUGUAUAUUUUGUAGGAACAUAAAAUUGAGGUAUUCUUAUUUGGAUGGAGGUAGGGUCAGUUGGGUCAAGGUCACCAGUGCUAAAAAUAGAUUUUUACACUUUUGCUCAUACAGCCUUUAUUUAUUGACAGAUUUGUAUUAUAAUUGGUAGGAAGAUAACUUACAUGGUAUUCUUCCUUUAGAUGGAGUUAGGGGUCAGUUGGGUCAAGGUCAACAGUGCUAAAAAUAGAUUUUUACACUUUUGCCCAUACAGCCUUUAUAUAUUGACAGAUUUAUUUCAUAUUUGGUAGGAAAAUAAGUUGCAUGAUAUUCUUCCUUUGGAUGGAGUUAGGGGUCUGUUGGGUCAAGGUCACCAGUGCUAAAAAUAGAUUUUUUACACUUUUGCCCAUACAGCCUUUAUUUUAAAUAUUGUUACUGACAAGAAUCUGAGCCGGGGGGCAUUUGUGUUCAACAAACACGUUCUUGUUUUAGUUAUAAUCCAACUUAUGUAUACAUGUAUAUGUAUGUUAUGAUUAUCAGAUUAUAUAACACUUAUUCAACUAAAUUUCACAUUUACAGUAAUCCAGGUUAGGGAAUGUCUCUAAACUGUCUGAAGAUAUCUAAAUCCAAUAAAAAAUACAUCCACACAAAGAAAAAACACUGUUUUGAGAUACAAUUUCCUAUAAUAACUCAGCAACCAAAGAGUUUUUCAUAUUUAAACUCAAGUUAUAAGUAUUUAAGUGCGUCAAAAGAAACACACUUUUGUUUUAUUUUACUGCGACAUCGAUUAUAUUGUGACAUCACGCCAAUUGUUUUCUAUCAGGUUUGUGCCGUUGCUAUAUAUAUUGAGAGAAAUAAAGAAACCUGAUGUUCGUUAGUAGAAGAUCAGAAAAAAAAACAAAAAAAACCACUUCAUUGCUCUUUUUAUCUUAAAAAGAUUAUACAAUACGACAGUAUAUCAUGGUAUUAAAAAUUAUAUAAUUAUAUAAAUCUUUGUGUGUUAGAAUUUAUAAAGCGGAACCUUACUGAUAUUUCACUUCAAAUGAUUUUGAUUAUUUUAAAUAAUGGUUUGCUAGUAAAAUUGCCUUUUUGCCACUUCCUUUUUAAUGGUAACAUUUAGCUUUUGAUCAGUAAUCAUUUUUUUAUGAUUACCGAGUACAUUUCACGGUAAUUGUGAGACAAACCCUAAAUGACGUCUGUUUGGGCACCACCAUUUUGAAAUGGACGUCACGUCAGGUUACAACAUAAGUCAACGAGGAAAAAUAUAAUAUUAACAUUUUGACCAUAUUACUGGCUUUAUGGAAAAAAUGAAAAACAUGCCUAGAUAUAUUGACGUCAGGGUUAACAUGACAUUAAUUUAAAUGAUUUUACUAUUAUAUUUAAUAAAAAAUGGAAUAUUCAAAUUUGGUGGGACAGACUAUAAGUGAUUCAUGGGAGCAUAACUUUAAAUUAGAAAAACUAAAAAAGUGUUUGCUCUUCGUCUAUCUGACAGCAGUUAGCAACAGGGUCAUCAAAUGCUUGAUACUGGGAACAGUGAUAAAGGCAAUAUGACAUUAUGCGCUCGACGUAUAAAAAAAAAAGAAUUGAGCUAUUGCUGCAGUCAGGUUGUUGUUGCCAUUGCCGUUGCUGUGCAGAAUCUUGAUUAUUAGUCACCUACUGGUUUACCCUCCGUCCAUCUGUCUGUCUGUUCGUCCGUCAAUUCGUCCACAAAACUAGAUCCUGUGAUAUCGCAAAAA